AUUGAACGCUGGCGGCAUGCUUUACACAUGCAAGUCGAACGGUAACAGGCCGCAAGGUGCUGACGAGUGGCGAACGGGUGAGUAAUGCAUCGGAACGUGCCCAGUCGUGGGGGAUAACUGCUCGAAAGAGCAGCUAAUACCGCAUACGAUCUAUGGAUGAAAGCGGGGGACCGUAAGGCCUCGCGCGAUUGGAGCGGCCGGUGUCAGAUUAGGUAGUUGGUGGGGUAAAGGCUCACCAAGCCAACGAUCUGUAGCGGGUCUGAGAGGACGACCGGCGACAGUGGGACUGAGACACGGACGAGACUCCUACGGGAGGCAGCAGUGGGGAAUUUUGGACAAUGGGGGCAACCCUGAUCCAGCAAUGCCGCGUGCAGGAAGAAGGCCUUCGGGUUGUAAACUGCUUUUGUACGGAACGAAACGGUCUGGGUUAAUACCCUGGGCUAAUGACGGUACCGUAAGAAUAAGCACCGGCUAACUACGUGCCAGCCGCCGCGGUAAUAC
rnacentral:rRNA from 1 species